rnacentral:misc_RNA from 1 species
UUUGUUUUUUAAUUAAAAACUAGAAUGAAAGGUUAUACAUUCAAAUUUCUUUAUUAAUUUAUAAUAAAUAAUUUAUAUUAAAUAUAAAAAUGUAUUUAUAUAAAAAAAAGACGACAAGACCCUAUUAAAUUUUACUUAUAGUUUAGCUGGGGAAGCUUUUUAAUUAAAAUUUUUUAAAUUUAAUAAAUAAAAAUCUAAUAAAAAUUAAAAAUUUUAACAAAUUACUAUAGGGAUAACAGCAUUAUAUUUUUUAAAAGUUCAUAUUAAAAAAAAUGAUUGUGACCUCGAUGUUGAAUUAUAUUUUCUAUAUUUAAUGCAAUAAUUAUAAAAGUAGAUCUGUUCGAUCUUUAAAAUAUUACAUGAUUUGAGUUCAAACCGGUGUAAACCAGGUUGGUUUCUAUCUUUUUAUAUAUUUUUCUAGUACGAAAGGACAAAAAAAUUUUUAUUUUAAUAAAAUAGCAAAUAAAUGCAUUAGAUUUAGAAUCUAAAUAUAUUUAAUAAUU